UACGUAGGGGGCUAGCGUUGUCCGGAAUCAUUGGGCGUAAAGCGCGCGUAGGCGGCCAGAUAAGUCCGGUGUGAAAGUCAAAGGCUCAACCUUUGAAUGCCGCUGGAAACUGUCUGGCUAGAGUCCGGGAGGGGCGAGUGGAAUUCCUGGUGUAGCGGUGAAAUGCGCAGAUAUCAGGAGGAACACCAAUGGCGAAGGCAGUACUCUGGGACGUGACUGACGCUGAGACGCGAAAGCGUGGGGAGCAAACAGG
rnacentral:rRNA from 1 species